ACAGCCACAUCACAUUUAAGCACUGGUUUUCACCCUAUCACUGAAGUUAAGCAGUGUUGAUCUGGGUUAGUAAUUAGAUGGGUGACCACUUGGGAAUAUCAGGCACUGCAA